AGUGAACGCUGGCGGUAGGCCUAACACAUGCAAGUCGAACGGCAGCACGGUAAGAGCUUGCUCUUACGGGUGGCGAGUGGCGGACGGGUGAGGAAUACAUCGGAAUCUACUUUUUCGUGGGGGAUAACGUAGGGAAACUUACGCUAAUACCGCAUACGACCUACGGGUGAAAGCAGGGGAUCUUCGGACCUUGCGCGAUUGAAUGAGCCGAUGUCGGAUUAGCUAGUUGGCGGGGUAAAGGCCCACCAAGGCGACGAUCCGUAGCUGGUCUGAGAGGAUGAUCAGCCACACUGGAACUGAGACACGGUCCAGACUCCUACGGGAGGCAGCAGUGGGGAAUAGUGGACAAUGGGCGCAAGCCUGAUCCAGCCAUACCGCGUGGGUGAAGAAGGCCGUCGGGUUGUAAAGCCCUUUUGUUGGGAAAGAAAAGCAGCAGGUUAAUACCCCGCUGUUCUGACGGUACCCAAAGAAUAAGCACCGGCUAACUUCG
rnacentral:rRNA from 1 species